AUACUCUGGUUUCUCUUCAGAUUGCAUAAAACUUUCACCUUUUCCUAAAGAUUUACAUGGAGAGGAACAAUUUUGAGUCUUUACCCAAUUUUUUGAGGUCCUGUGUUUUCAAGGAUA
ensembl:snRNA U5 U5 spliceosomal RNA